UCAACCGGGUCCAGGAAGAAUUGAUUUUCUGUUUCUGUGACACUCUUUGUUUUCCUUUAUGGCCAUCUUUAUCUUCUGUUAACAUACUUCUGAGACGGAAUCUGGUACCACGCCACAUUCAUCCUCAGGCGAGGCCCAGGACUGAUUCUUCUAGUGCCAUAAAAGAGCAAAUUGCAAUAAUCAAAGCUUGGGGUGAGACAGAGGGAAGGCUCCCAUCCAUCUGUCAAACAAAAAUAGUCUGAGAACGGUGAUGCGGGAAUGCUUUGAAGAAAGGGACUUGGCUGAACCAUGAAGAAUCCAUUAUUUCAGCUCACCCCCUGACUGGGCAUUAGAUUCUUCAUAUACCUCACAACAGGAAGCAGAAAUGAGAAGAUGAUCUCCCCAAAAUCAAAUGCAGCCCUGGAAUGCAGCUGUGAUGCAGACUGAACUCAAAACUAUUAGUCUAAAAUCUGAACUCAAGUCUGGAAUUUCUCUCAGAAAAUUUCUGAAGCAGGAAGUGCUGGCCAAACUUCCAGCUGUUGUGGUGGCAUUAAAAACUGGAGGGAGCUUCAUGAGGUGGGAACUUACCACUGCUACCAAUGUCAAUAAGGCCUGAUUCUGUCCCUAAAGCAGACAUACCUAUGGUAGCUGAUCUGUGGACAUUAUUAGAAAGAACAACAGAGAGCAGAUAUAAAUCCAAAAAACGAUCAUCCACUGUUUUCAACUGAACAAAGCAACUUUGGGAACCAGGUACUGUGCAUUGCAAAUAAAACAUCAGUUAAAAAAUUCUGUUGCACAGCUUUUGUUGUUUUAGUUAGUUAUGCAUGACUCCUUUUAGUUGGAGCCUCAAAACACUGGAAACACCUAAACAAAAUUACAAAAAAUUAAA